UACGUAGGGAGCAAGCGUUGUCCGGAAUUAUUGGGCGUAAAGAGUGUGUAGGCGGCUUGGUAAGUCCGCUCUGAAAGCCAGGGGCUCAACCCCUGGAGGCGGGUGGAUACUGUCAAGCUUGAGUCCGGAAGAGGCGAGUGGAAUUCCCGGUGUAGCGGUGAAAUGCGCAGAUAUCGGGAGGAACACCAAUUGCGAAGGCAGCUCGCUGGGACGUGACUGACGCUGAGACACGAAAGCGUGGGGAGCAAACAGG
rnacentral:rRNA from 1 species